GAUCCUGGCUCAGGAUGAACGCUGGCGGCGUGCUUAACACAUGCAAGUCGAACGGAGAAUAUAUGUGAGCGGAGGGUGCUUGCAUCUAACAAUCUUUAUAUUCUUAGUGGCGGACGGGUGAGUAACGCGUGGGUAACCUGCCUUGUACAGGGGGACAACAGUUAGAAAUGACUGCUAAUACCGCAUAAGCGCACAGGAGCACAUGCUCUAGUGUGAAAAACUUUAGUGGUACAAGAUGGACCCGCGUCUGAUUAGCUAGUUGGUAAGGUAACGGCCUACCAAGGCAACGAUCAGUAGCCGGCCUGAGAGGGUGAACGGCCACAUUGGGACUGAGACACGGCCCAAACUCCUACGGGAGGCAGCAGUGGGGAAUAUUGGACAAUGGGGGAAACCCUGAUCCAGCGACGCCGCGUGAGUGAAGAAGUAUUUCGGUAUGUAAAGCUCUAUCAGCAAGGAAGAAAAUGACGGUACUUGACUAAGAAGCCCCGGCUAACUACGUGCCAGCCGCCGC
rnacentral:rRNA from 1 species